AGAGUUUGAUCCUGGCUCAGGACGAACGCUGGCGGCGUGCUUAACACAUGCAAGUCGAACGGAAAGGCCCUUCGGGGUACUCGAGUGGCGAACGGGUGAGUAACACGUGGGUGAUCUGCCCUGCACUCUGGGAUAAGCCUGGGAAACUGGGUCUAAUACCGGAUAGGACCGCAUGCUUCAUGGUGUGUGGUGCAAAGCUUUUGCGGUGUGGGAUGAGCCCGCGGCCUAUCAGCUUGUUGGUGGGGUAAUGGCCUACCAAGGCGACGACGGGUAGCCGGCCUGAGAGGGUGACCGGCCACACUAGGACUGAGAUACGGCCCAGACUCCUACGGGAGGCAGCAGUGGGGAAUAUUGCACAAUGGGCGCAAGCCUGAUGCAGCGACGCCGCGUGAGGGAUGACGGCCUUCGGGUUGUAAACCUCUUUCAGUAGGGACGAAGCGAAAGUGACGGUACCUACAGAAGAAGGACCGGCCAACUACGUGCCAGCAGCCGCGGUAAUACGUAGGGUCCGAGCGUUGUCCGGAAUUACUGGGCGUAAAGAGCUCGUAGGUGGUUUGUCGCGUUGUUCGUGAAAACUCACAGCUUAACUGUGGGCGUGCGGGCGAUACGGGCAGACUAGAGUACUGCAGGGGAGACUGGAAUUCCUGGUGUAGCGGUGGAAUGCGCAGAUAUCAGGAGGAACACCGGUGGCGAAGGCGGGUCUCUGGGCAGUAACUGACGCUGAGGAGCGAAAGCGUGGGUAGCGAACAGGAUUAGAUACCCUGGUAGUCCAA
rnacentral:rRNA from 1 species